CGAGAGAGUAGCAAUACCCUUUUGGCGGCGACCGGCGGAUGGGUGAGUAACGCGUAUGCAACCUACCUACUACUUUGGGAUAGCUCGUUGAAAGACGAAUUAAUACCUUAUAAUACAGGGACUCCGCAUGGAGAUAUUUGUUAAAGAUUCAUUGGUAGUAGAUGGGCAUGCGUUCCAUUAGUUUGUUGGUGAGGUAACGGCUCACCAAGACAUCGAUGGAUAGGGGAACUGAGAGGUUUGUCCCCCACACUGGAACUGAGACACGGUCCAGACUCC
rnacentral:rRNA from 1 species